GCCAGUGUAGUAUAGUGGCUUGGGUGUCGGACUAGGACUCUGGAGAUCAGGGUUCAAAUCCCUGCUCAGCCA